rnacentral:rRNA from 1 species
CAGGCUUAACACAUGCAAGUCGAGGGGCAGCAUUUUAGUUUGCUUGCAAACUAAAGAUGGCGACCGGCGCACGGGUGAGUAACACGUAUCCAACCUGCCGAUAACUCGGGGAUAGCCUUUCGAAAGAAAGAUUAAUAUCCGAUGGUAUAUUAAAACCGCAUGGUUUUACUAUUAAAGAAUUUCGGUUAUCGAUGGGGAUGCGUUCCAUUAGUUUGUUGGCGGGGUAACGGCCCACCAAGACUACGAUGGAUAGGGGUUCUGGGAGGAAGGUCCCCCACAUUGGAACUGAGACACGGUCCAAACUCCUACGGGAGGCAGCAGUGAGGAAUAUUGGUCAAUGGACGAGAGUCUGAACCAGCCAAGUAGCGUGAAGGAUGACUGCCCUAUGGGUUGUAAACUUCUUUUAUAUGGGAAUAAAGUAUUCCACGUGUGGGAUUUUGUAUGUACCAUAUGAAUAAGGAUCGGCUAACUCCGUGCCAGCAGCCGCGGUAAUACGGAGGAUCCGAGCGUUAUCCGGAUUUAUUGGGUUUAAAGGGAGCGUAGGUGGAUUGUUAAGUCAGUUGUGAAAGUUUGCGGCUCAACCGUAAAAUUGCAGUUGAAACUGGCAGUCCUGAGUACAGUAGAGGUGGGCGGAAUUCGUGGUGUAGCGGUGAAAUGCUUAGAUAUCACGAAGAA